rnacentral:lncRNA from 1 species
AGGAACUAUCAUCUCCUGUUGUGCUGUAGGCAAACUUGAGUGACAUGGUGGAAGUCACCAGAGAGAAUAUCUGAAGCAAUUCAUUAAAAUCUUGGCAGCCAGACCCCAGCUCCCACUUUCCCUGAAAGCUCCCUUUAAUGAAGCUGAACGCUGUCCCAGCAAUUCCCUCCACAGAAGACCUACUGUCACCACCUCUGGAGGGGCAAUUCCUGGAGGAACCAAGUCAGCCAAUCGAAGGUCCUGAAUAAGCAAAAACUAAGUAAAUAA